CUAAAUCAUAAAACAAACCCUAAAAUUCUCUCUCUCUCUCUUCUCUUCCCUUCUCUUCACUCUUUUGUACCCUGUAAGAUUCGCAGCUUGUUUGUGAUUGCCUCCUCGAUCCCUUCCUAGAUUUUUCUCUUACUCGCUGCUACACCAAAACAAAUUAGAGAGUUAAUGAAGGUUGAUGGGAUUACUAAUGAUGAAGUCAAAAGCCAUUUGUAGUGAUCAUGAUUACCAAGGAUACCGAGGACAGGUGACUGCAGCCAACAUGGAGAAUCGUCAUAGAGCUCCACAGAACCUUCAGAGGCCUAACAAGCCCAUCAACUCAGACGAGGCAGCGAUAAUCUAUGGUGGGAUAUCCGUCACAGAAGUGUAUGGUACUCGUACCGGUAAACCGAUCAAUAAUAGGCGUUUUUAUUGAUUGUUAAAUAUCAUGCUUGAACACAUGGUAUGAGAAACAAAUGCCCUAGCUAGUUGUCCUUUUGUUGUUAUAAUAAUUAACCUAGCUCUUCCACAGCUUCAUAAAGCUGUUUACCUGGGAAGAGCUAGUACAAAUUAUGCCCUAGUUCAUCGUUUUCUACUUCCACAUCUUGAAGUUUUAUAUCGUCUGUAUCGUUUUCUAAUGCCCUACUUGUAAUACAGAAGCUUUAUAUAUAUUAUAUAGUGUGUGUCUUGAUGUUUUA